rnacentral:misc_RNA from 1 species
AAAGUCGUAACAAGGUUUCCGUAGGUGAACCUGCGGAAGGAUCAUUAAAGAAGUUAAGGGGUUCCUAGUGGGCCCCAACCUCCAAGCCCCUCUGUUGGCAUUAAAAACUACCAUUGUUGCUUUGGGCCGGGACCGAUUCCGGUCUCCCGAGGCGCGUUAACCCUCGGGUUGGCGAGCGCCCGGCCAAGAGUUCCCAAACCAAACCUCUUGUAAUUAAACCUGUCGUGCUGGUUGUAAAAUUUUAAUUAAAUUAAAAAC